GGCCGGCGUGCUUAACACAUGCAAGUCGAACGAGAAGAGAUGAGAAGCUUGCUUCUUAUUGAUUCGAGUGGCAAACGGGGUGAGUAACGCGUAAGCAACCUGCCCUUCAGAUGGGGACAACAGCUGGAAACGGCUGCUAAUACCGAAUACGUUCUUUUUGUCGCAUGGCAGAGGGAAGAAAGGGAGGCUCUUCGGAGCUUUCGCCGAAGGAGGGGCUUGCGUCUGAUUAGCUAGUUGGAGGGGUAACGGCCCACCAAGGCGACGAUCAGUAGCCGGUCUGAGAGGAUGAACGGCCACAUUGGGACUGAGACACGGCCCAAACUCCUACGGGAGGCAGCAGUAGGGAAUCUUCCACAAUGGACGCAAGUCUGAUGGAGCAACGCCGCGUGAGUGAAGAAGGUUUUCGGAUCGUAAAGCUCUGUUGUUGGUGAAGAAGGAUAGAGGUAGUAACUGGCCUUUAUUUGACGGUAAUCAACCAGAAAGUCACGGCUAACUACGUG
rnacentral:rRNA from 1 species